rnacentral:rRNA from 1 species
AUGGCUAGCUCCAGCUCCGCCGCCGCCGCUUUUGCCCUCAUCCCCAUCGCUGACAAGCUUCAGCAUGGUAACUACCUGUUUUGGCAUGCGCAAGCCCUAGCCACCAUCCGCGGAGCACAGCUGAUCGACGACCUCAACCCUGAUCACCCAUUCCCGAAGGCCAAGCUCCUCAACAAGGAUGGUAAGCCCACUAAUGUGCGGAACCCGGUGCAUCUCAUCACCAUGGCGCAAGACUCCGAGGUGCUGAGCUUCAUCUUCAACUCGAUAUCGCCGCCUGUGAUGAUCCAAGUCGCUCACUUCACCAAGCCCGCCGGGGCAUGGACCGCCAUCAAGGAGAUGUUCCUCUCCCAGACGUAG